UACAGAGGUCUCAAGCGUUGUUCGGAUUCAUUGGGCGUAAAGGGUGUGUAGGUGGCGCGCUAAGUCAGGUGUGAAAGCUCCCGGCUUAACUGGGAGAGGCCAAUGGAUACUGCCAAGCUUGAGUAUAGGAGAGGUUACUGGAAUUCCCGGUGUAGCGGUGAAAUGCGCAGAUAUCGGGAGGAACACCAAUGGCGAAAGCAGGUAACUGGACUAUUACUGACACUCAACUGCGAAAGCUAGGGGAGCAAACAGG
rnacentral:rRNA from 1 species